rnacentral:rRNA from 1 species
AUUGAACGCUGGCGGCAGGCCUAACACAUGCAAGUCGAGCGGCAGCGGGAAAGUAGCUUGCUACUUUUGCCGGCGAGCGGCGGACGGGUGAGUAAUGCCUGGGGAUCUGCCCAGUCGAGGGGGAUAACUACUGGAAACGGUAGCUAAUACCGCAUACACCCUACGGGGGAAAGCAGGGGACCUUCGGGCCUUGCGCGAUUGGAUGAACCCAGGUGGGAUUAGCUAGUUGGUGAGGUAAUGGCUCACCAAGGCGACGAUCCCUAGCUGGUCUGAGAGGAUGAUCAGCCACACUGGAACUGAGACACGGUCCAGACUCCUACGGGAGGCAGCAGUGGGGAAUAUUGCACAAUGGGGGAAACCCUGAUGCAGCCAUGCCGCGUGUGUGAAGAAGGCCUUCGGGUUGUAAAGCACUUUCAGCGAGGAGGAAAGGUUGGUAGCUAAUAACUGCCAGCUGUGACGUUACUCGCAGAAGAAGCACCGGCUAACUCCGUGCCAGCAGCCGCGGUAA